GGAGGGUUGGCCGAGCGGUUGAAGGCGGCGGUCUUGAAAACCGCUGUGGGCUUCAGGCCCACCGGGGGUUCGAAUCCCUCACCCUCCG
rnacentral:tRNA from 1 species